rnacentral:rRNA from 1 species
UACGGGGGAGCAAGCGUUGUUCGGAUUUACUGGGCGUAAAGGGCGCGUUGGCGGUCGUGACAAGUCACUUGUGAAAUCUCCGGGCUUAACUCGGAACGGUCAAGUGAUACUGUCGGACUAGAGUACAGAAGGGGCAACUGGAAUUCUCGGUGUAGCGGUGAAGUGCGUAGAUAUCGAGAGGAACACCGGAGGUGAAGACGGGUUGCUGGGCUGACACUGACGCUGAGGCGCGAAAGCCAGGGGAGCAAACGGG